UGAUUACUUCCAAGUCAUGGACCUU
rnacentral:piRNA from 1 species